rnacentral:rRNA from 1 species
AGAGUUUGAUCCUGGCUCAGAAUGAACGUUGGCGGCGUGGAUUAGGCAUGCAAGUCGAACGAGAUCUGUAGCAAUACAGUGAAAGUGGCGAAAGGGAGAGUAAUACGUAGGUACCUGCCCUCGGGUCCGGGAUAGCUGCGGGAAACUGCAAUUAAUACCGGAUGAUGUCUCUGGACCAAAGGUGUGAUUCCGCCAGAGGAUGGGCCUGCGUCCUAUCAGCUAGUUGGUGUGGUAAUGGCGCACCAAGGCUAAGACGGGUACGGGGUGUGAGAGCAUGCCCCCGCUCACUGGGACUGAGAUACUGCCCAGACACCUACGGGUGGCUGCAGUCGAGAAUCUUCCGCAAUGGGCGAAAGCCUGACGGAGCGACGCCGCGUGUGGGAUGAAGGCCUUCGGGUUGUAAACCACUGUCAGUGGGGAGCAAGUGCAUCAGGGUUAUCCCUGGUGUUUGAGCGAUCCGCAGAGGAAGCACAGGCUAAUUCCGUGCCAGCAGCCGCGGUAAUACGGAAUGUGCAAACGUUAUUCGGAAUCACUGGGCUUAAAGAGUCCGUAGGCGGCCUGUUAGGUGAGGUGUGAAGUCCCCCGGCUCAACCGAGGAAUUGCGCUUCAAACCGGCAGGCUCGAGGGAGAUAGAGGUGGACGGAACUGAUGGUGGAGCGGUGAAAUGCGUUGAUAUCAUCAGGAACACCGGAGGCGAAGGCGGUCCACUGGGUCUUUUCUGACGCUGAGGGACGAAAGCUAGGGGAGCGAACGGGAUUAGAUACCCCGGUAGUCCUAGCCUUAAACGAUGAGCACUAGAC